rnacentral:rRNA from 1 species
ACCGGCAGCUAGCUCUCUGCAACUCUCACAUGGUCACCCACUGAAGCCAAGCAGGGCUGCGCCUGGUCAGUACCUGGAUGGGAGACCACAUGGGAAAGCUAGGUUACUGCCGGAA